rnacentral:rRNA from 1 species
CCUACGGGGGACAGCAGUGAGGAAUAUUCGUCAAUGGGCGCGAGCCUGAACCAGCCAAGCAGCGUGAAGGAUGAAUGCCCUACGGGUUGUAAACUUCAUUUAUAAAGGAAUAAAGUGAGGCACGUGUGCCUUUUUGUAUGUACUUUAUGAACAAGGAGCGGCUAACUCCGUGCCAGCAGCCGCGGUAAUACGGAGGAUCCGAGCGUUAUCCGGAUUUAUUGGGUGUAAAGGGAGCGUAGAUGGGUUGUUAAGUCAGUUGUGAAAGUUUGCGGCUCAACCGUAAAAUUGCAAUUGAUACUGGCAGGCUGGAGUACAGGUGAGGUAGGCGGAAUUCGUGGUGUAGCGGUGAAAUGCUUAGAUAUCACGAAGAACUCCGAUUGCGAAGGCAGCUUACUAAACUGCCACUGACAUUGAUGCUCGAAAGUGUGGGUAUCAAACAGGAUUAGAUACCCUUGUAGUC